AAUGUGAAAAAGGAAAAGGCAAGAGACAAACUUCUAAAUGGAUGUCCAUACGUUCACGUGUCCAGCUUGGCAAUGUGCAUCGACGCCUCAUCCAUCCCACCUACAAACAAGACAAGGAACUAAUUUCACGGCGGAAUAUGGACCCGACAUUCACAACUCUGUUUAUUCGACGAAAUAUGGGAAAGCUUCUGUCAUUUUUUAGGUUUAAUUUGUGGAUGUUGAUUCUAUAAAAAAAAUUAUGUAAAAUGAUCCAUAGCAAAGUACUGUAGAAAAAAAUGGUUGGCCAGAUAAUAACUAAAAUAGACAAUAAGUGGUAGAACAAACGAGAUUAUGAGAACAGACUAGGCAUAAGCAUGAUGCUACAAAAAAAAGGUUUAAGCUUUGUGAAGCAACACCUUUCGGGUGGACCCAUGCAAAUUCAAAGCUUACCGAGGCUUAUGUCGAUGUCUAAAAUAAAAAAUGUAUGGGACUAGCUGU
rnacentral:lncRNA from 1 species